rnacentral:rRNA from 1 species
CCUACGGGUGGCAGCAGUGAGGAAUAUUGGUCAAUGGCCGCGGGCCUGAACCAGCCAAGUCGCGUGAAGGAUGACUGCCCUACGGGUUGUAAACUUCUUUUAUCAGGGAAUAAAGUGCGCCACGUGUGCCGUUUUGCGAGUACUUUAUGAAAAAGGAUCGGCUAACUCCGUGCCAGCAGCCGCGGUAAUACGGAGGAUUCGAGCGUUAUCCGGAUUUAUUGGGUUUAAAGGGUGCGAGGAGGGAUUGUAAAGUCAGUGGUAAAAUUUCGGGGGCAAACCCCGUAGUGCCGUUGAGACUGGCAUCCUUGAGUGAAGUAGAGGUAUGCGGAAUGCGUGGUGUAGCGGUGAAAUGCAUAGAUAUCACGCAGAACUCCGAUUGCGAAGGCAGCAUACCAAAGUGCCACUGACGCUGAUGCUCGAAAGUGUGGGUAUCGAACAGGAUUAGAUACCCCAGUAGUC